rnacentral:rRNA from 1 species
CGAAAGCCUGACGCAGCGACGCCGCGUGGGGGAUGACGGCCUUCGGGUUGUAAACCUCUUUUACCACCAACGCAGGCUCGGAGUUUUCUUCGGGUUGACGGUAGGUGGGGAAUAAGGACCGGCUAACUACGUGCCAGCAGCCGCGGUAAUACGUAGGGUCCGAGCGUUGUCCGGAAUUAUUGGGCGUAAAGAGCUCGUAGGCGGCGUGUCGCGUCUGCUGUGAAAGACCGGGGCUUAACUCCGGUUCUGCAGUGGAUACGGGCAUGCUAGAGGUAGGUAGGGGAGACUGGAAUUCCUGGUGUAGCGGUGAAAUGCGCAGAUAUCAGGAGGAACACCGGUGGCGAAGGCGGGUCUCUGGGCCUUACCUGACGCUGAGGAGCGAAAGCAUGGGGAGCGAACAGGAUUAGAUACCCUGGUAGUCCAUGCCGUAAACGUUGGGCGCUAGGUGUGGGGACUUUCCACGGUUUCCGCGCCGUAGCUAACGCAUUAAGCGCCCCGCCUGGGGAGUACGGCCGCAAGGCUAAAACUCAAAGGAAUUGACGGGGGCCCGCACAAGCGGCGGAGCAUGUUGCUUAAUUCGACGCAACGCGAAGAACCUUACCAAGGUUUGACAUCACCCGUGGACUCGCAGAGAUGUGAGGUCAUUUAGUUGGCGGGUGACAGGUGGUGCAUGGCUGUCGUCAGCUCGUGUCGUGAGAUGUUGGGUUAAGUCCCGCAACGAGCGCAACCCUUGUUCCAUGUUGCCAGCACGUAAUGGUGGGGACUCAUGGGAGACUGCCGGGGUCAACUCGGAGGAAGGUGGGGAUGACGUCAAGUCAUCAUGCCCCUUAUGUCUUGGGCUGCAAACAUGCUACAAUGGCCGGUACAAUGGGCGUGCGAUA